rnacentral:rRNA from 1 species
GGGGAGCCGAAGGGAAACCGAGUCUUAACUGGGCGUUAAGUUGCAGGGUAUAGACCCGAAACCCGGUGAUCUAGCCAUGGGCAGGUUGAAGGUUGGGUAACACUAACUGGAGGACCGAACCGACUAAUGUUGAAAAAUUAGCGGAUGACUUGUGGCUGGGGGUGAAAGGCCAAUCAAACCGGGAGAUAGCUGGUUCUCCCCGAAAGCUAUUUAGGUAGCGCCUCGUGAAUUCAUCUCCGGGGGUAGAGCACUGUUUCGGCAAGGGGGUCAUCCCGACUUACCAACCCGAUGCAAACUGCGAAUACCGGAGAAUGUUAUCACGGGAGACACACGGCGGGUGCUAACGUCCGUCGUGAAGAGGGAAACAACCCAGACCGCCAGCUAAGGUCCCAAAGUCAUGGUUAAGUGGGAAACGAUGUGGGAAGGCCCAGACAGCCAGGAUGUUGGCUUAGAAGCAGCCAUCAUUUAAAGAAAGCGUAAUAGCUCACUGGUCGAGUCGGCCUGCGCGGAAGAUGUAACGGGGCUAAACCAUGCACCGAAGCUGCGGCAGCGACGCUGAUGCGUUGUUGGGUAGGGGAGCGUUCUGUAAGCCUGCGAAGGUGUGCUGUGAGGCAUGCUGGAGGUAUCAGAAGUGCGAAUGCUGACAUAAGUAACGAUAAAGCGGGUGAAAAGCCCGCUCGCCGGAAGACCAAGGGUUCCUGUCCAACGUUAAUCGGGGCAGGGUGAGUCGACCCCUAAGGCGAGGCCGAAAGGCGUAGUCGAUGGGAAACAGGUUAAUAUUCCUGUACUUGGUGUUACUGCGAAGGGGGGACGGAGAAGGCUAUGUUGGCCGGGCGACGGUUGUCCCGGUUUAAGCGUGUAGGCUGGUUUUCCAGGCAAAUCCGGAAAAUCAAGGCUGAGGCGUGAUGACGAGGCACUACGGUGCUGAAGCAACAAAUGCCCUGCUUCCAGGAAAAGCCUCUAAGCAUCAGGUAACAUCAAAUCGUACCCCAAACCGACACAGGUGGUCAGGUAGAGAAUACCAAGGCGCUUGAGAGAACUCGGGUGAAGGAACUAGGCAAAAUGGUGCCGUAACUUCGGGAGAAGGCACGCUGAUAUGUAGGUGAAGUCCCUUGCGGAUGGAGCUGAAAUCAGUCGAAGAUACCAGCUGGCUGCAACUGUUUAUUAAAAACACAGCACUGUGCAAACACGAAAGUGGACGUAUACGGUGUGACGCCUGCCCGGUGC